rnacentral:rRNA from 1 species
CAUGCAGUCGAGCGGUAAGGCCCUUCGGGGUACACGAGCGGCGAACGGGUGAGUAACACGUGAGCAACCUGCCCCUGACUCUGGGAUAAGCGGUGGAAACGCCGUCUAAUACCGGAUACGACCUUCCGCCUCAUGGUGGAGGGUGGAAAGUUUUUUCGGUCAGGGAUGGGCUCGCGGCCUAUCAGCUUGUUGGUGGGGUAACGGCCUACCAAGGCGAUUACGGGUAGCCGGCCUGAGAGGGCGACCGGCCACACUGGGACUGAGACACGGCCCAGACUCCUGCGGGAGGCAGCAGUGGGGAAUAUUGCGCAAUGGGCGAAAGCCUGACGCAGCGACGCCGCGUGGGGGAUGACGGCCUUCGGGUUGUAAACCUCUUUUACCACCAACGCAGGCUCCGGGUUCUCUCGGGGUUGACGGUAGGUGGGGAAUAAGGACCGGCUAACUACGUGCCAGCAGCCGCGGUAAUACGUAGGGUCCGAGCGUUGUCCGGAAUUAUUGGGCGUAAAGAGCUCGUAGGCGGCGUGUCGCGUCUGCUGUGAAAGACCGGGGCUUAACUCCGGUUCUGCAGUGGAUACGGGCAUGCUAGAGGUAGGUAGGGGAGACUGGAAUUCCUGGUGUAGCGGUGAAAUGCGCAGAUAUCAGGAGGAACACCGGUGGCGAAGGCGGGUCUCUGGGCCUUACCUGACGCUGAGGAGCGAAAGCAUGGGGAGCGAACAGGAUUAGAUACCCUGGUAGUCCAUGCCGUAAACGUUGGGCGCUAGGUGUGGGGACUUUCCACGGUUUCCGCGCCGUAGCUAACGCAUUAAGCGCCCCGCCUGGGGAGUACGGCCGCAAGGCUAAAACUCAAGGAAUUGACGGGGGCCCGCACAAGCGGCGGAGCAUGUUGCUUAAUUCGACGCACGCGAAGAACCUUACCAAGGUUUGACAU